UACGUAGGGUGCGAGCGUUGUCCGGAAUUACUGGGCGUAAAGAGCUCGUAGGUGGUUUGUCGCGUUGUUCGUGAAAACUCACAGCUCAACUGUGGGCGUGCGGGCGAUACGGGCAGACUAGAGUACUGCAGGGGAGACUGGAAUUCCUGGUGUAGCGGUGAAAUGCGCAGAUAUCAGGAGGAACACCGGUGGCGAAGGCGGGUCUCUGGGCCUUACCUGACGCUGAGACGCGAAAGCGUGGGGAGCAAACAGG
rnacentral:rRNA from 1 species